rnacentral:rRNA from 1 species
AUUGAACGCUGGCGGCAUGCCUUACACAUGCAAGUCGAACGGUAACAGGUCUUCGGAUGCUGACGAGUGGCGAACGGGUGAGUAAUGCAUCGGAACGUGCCCAGUAGUGGGGGAUAGCCCGGCGAAAGCCGGAUUAAUACCGCAUACGACCUGAGGGUGAAAGGGGGGGAUCGCAAGACCUCUCGCUAUUGGAGCGGCCGAUGUCAGAUUAGCUAGUUGGUGGGGUAAAGGCCUACCAAGGCAACGAUCUGUAGUUGGUCUGAGAGGACGACCAGCCACACUGGGACUGAGACACGGCCCAGACUCCUACGGGAGGCAGCAGUGGGGAAUUUUGGACAAUGGGCGCAAGCCUGAUCCAGCAAUGCCGCGUGCAGGAAGAAGGCCUUCGGGUUGUAAACUGCCUUUGUCAGGGAAGAAAUCUUCUGGGUUAAUACCUCGGGAGGAUGACGGUACCUGAAGAAUAAGCACCGGCUAACUACGUGCCAGCAGCCGCGGUAAGAC